UACGUAGGGUGCAAGCGUUGUCCGGAAUUAUUGGGCGUAAAGAGCUCGUAGGCGGUCUGUCGCGUCGGCUGUGAAACCCCGAGGCUCAACCUCGGGCCUGCAGUCGAUACGGGCAGACUAGAGUUCGGUAGGGGAGACUGGAAUUCCUGGUGUAGCGGUGAAAUGCGCAGAUAUCAGGAGGAACACCGGUGGCGAAGGCGGGGCUCUGGGAAGUAACUGACGCUGAGGAGCGAAAGCGUGGGGAGCGAACAGG
rnacentral:rRNA from 1 species